UCUCCGUUGGUGAACCAGCGGAGGGAUCAUUACCGAGUUUACAACUCCCAAACCCCUGUGAACAUACCAUUUGUUGCCUCGGCGGUGUCUGCUUCGGCAGCCCGCCAGAGGACCCAAACCCUUGAUUUUAUACAGUAUCUUCUGAGUAAAUGAUUAAAUAAAUCAAAACUUUCAACAACGGAUCUCUUGGUUCUG
rnacentral:misc_RNA from 1 species